GAUGAACGCUGGCGGCGUGCCUAAUACAUGCAAGUCGAGCGAACAGAUGAGGAGCUUGCUCCUCUGACGUUAGCGGCGGACGGGUGAGUAACACGUGGAUAACCUACCUAUAAGACUGGGAUAACUUCGGGAAACCGGAGCUAAUACCGGAUAAUAUAUUGAACCGCAUGGUUCAAUAGUGAAAGACGGUUUUGCUGUCACUUAUAGAUGGAUCCGCGCCGCAUUAGCUAGUUGGUAAGGUAACGGCUUACCAAGGCAACGAUGCGUAGCCGACCUGAGAGGUUGAUCGGCCACACUGGAACUGAGACCCGGUCCAGACUCCUACGGGAGGCAGCAGUAGGGAAUCUUCCGCAAUGGGCGAAAGCCUGACGGAGCAACGCCGCGUGAGUGAUGAAGGUCUUCGGAUCGUAAAACUCUGUUAUUAGGGAAGAACAAAUGUGUAAGUAACUAUGCACGUCUUGACGGUACCUAAUCAGAAAGCCACGGCUAACUACGUG
rnacentral:rRNA from 1 species